UCCUCUUAGGUUUUUUGGGUUCGGAAACAUUGAGUUCCCUUCGCGUUCACUCCACUGUUUUCAAUGGAUUGGUAUUCAGUAAGGAGAAAAGGAGAGUGCUUGGUGGAGUUGCAGAUCGAACUUGGUGAUGUCAAAGGGGUCAAGAUCUGUAACUUAUGAGUUAGGGGUGGAAACUUGUUUAAGAUUUGGGUUGGUUUGGGGAAAUAGAAGGAAUCUGGCCUGGGUUUUAGGAGUGUUCUACCUGGGUUCUUUGUUUUUGUCGUUCCAUUGGCUCCUUCACUAGAUUGUUCGAUUGCUAUCUAAUUUAUCAAUCCCAAUCGAGUAGCCGACGAAAAAGGCUAGCACUGCUUUUGUUCAUCUUUCUACUCAAAACCAUUUUCAAUUUCAAAUGGGUCUGACGCAAUGGGGAGCUCUUACUUCUUACACUCUCUCAUCUCGGCCUCUCCUACUCUCGAUUUCCCUAAUUUUCUUCGCAUGACCCAAUCCGCGAUUGUUCAAACUCUAUCUCCUUCCUAUUUUUCAUUCUCUUUCUGCAUAUCAAUGCCAAGAGAAUAAAAUUUAUAUAGGCUUGUGGAUUGUUGUUGAUUACACAGCUCAAGAAAUGGACAUCUGAUUCCUCUCAAAAUCCCGAAGAAAGAAAACCAGUUUUGUAAUUGCUGUUAAGUAUGGGAUUGUAGAUCCAAGUACUACAUCAAUUAUGGGAUUUGUUUGUUACAGAAACCCAGAGGAGAUCCCAUGGGGUCAGUUUGGUGCCGAUAUUGUUGUUGGAGUCUACUGGAGUGUUCACUGACAAGGACAAAGCCGCUGCGCACUUAAAGUGAGCUAGACAAUGGGAUUAAGAAAUCAGAAUUUUCAAGGAAUCCUAGAUAUCAUGACAUCCUUAUGGAUGAAGUAUAUCCUGCAAAAGAAUCUUGGUCCAGAAUGCUAUUUGGAAAGGAAAAUGUCAAGGGAAAGGAUAUCCUGGAAAUCAACCAUCCCGAAAGUCCUUUCGGCA